GGUGCAAACUUAAGCCGUUUGCGUCGCACUGGAGACCAGUGAUGUUAAUGACUAUCGCGGGAAUAGCCGAUGGAGAACAUAGCAGCAACGCGCUUUUCCUCAGAGAAUUAACAAGAAUGAAUCUCCUCAUUGCUGACCGACACAAUCAACAAACGCCACAAACGUCGCCACGGUAAACCCGUAGCUUUUAUGUGGGGUGACGCCAAAGGACAUUGGUCAAAAGCAUAAGAUUCAGUGCAUCGGCCACCAUCAGCCUAUCCGAACAUCCGAACAGACCAAGAAAGUGAUGAUUGACGUUCCGCCACAAGAUGGCGACAGAGACUGCUUAAUAAGUUCUUAGGGGAGAAAAACAGCAUUUUCUCAGCUCAAGUUUCAAACAACAGCUAAACAAAUCAUUAUAAAUCAGGCAGAAUCUAUAUUUCGUCCCUUGCAGAUCCAGGAGUGAGCGAGAGAAAUGUCUCCUCAAGCAGAAAAACACCCUCUGUCACCGGCUGAUGACAGUACCUGCCAACCAUGUGCACCUCUGUACGGAAAUGCAAAGCCUCGGAACAGGAGCGCAAAAGUUUCCUUUCAAUUUCCCAUCAUGUUAUUGAGCAAUGGGGCAUUCUGUCUCUCCAUUCAUGUGGAGAUGGGGUUUUCAAGCUAAAUUAGUAAUGAUGUUGGCAUGUUCAUCAGACUGACUUGGUUUCUUUUUUCAGUUCACCUCUGUUCUGUUACAGCGUCUUGUGUGCAUUUUAUUACCUUUUGUCUUUGUUUUCAUCAAUUAUACCAAGUCAUUUAACUUAAAUUUAUCACGAAUAGACGCAUUUAGAUUGUACACUAAUAAAUGCUGGGCCCUUUUUGGUCAAAUUUUGGGGAAAAAAUGAACAAUUGUAUUACAGUUUAAAAUAAUCCUCACAAACAUGACAAAGAAUUGAGAGGUUAUUAUAUUUUUGCAUUUUUAUAAUUGUUUUAGGUCUCACUUUAUAGUGUUUUUAACUACUAAGUACUUACAUCCUAAUAUAAAUACAAUGUACUCAAUGUGUUCAUAAUGCCUUGCAAAACACUUCUGGUCCUCUUGAGGUGGAAUAUGAGUAGGGUUAGGGACAUGUUUGAUGGUAUGGGUAGGUAUAAAAGUGGGUUAAGGUGUAAGGGACAACAGUGUAUUCAUAAAUGUAAUUACAGAAAUGAAUUACAGAUGUAGGUGGGUAGCGGUGUAGCCUCACAGCAAGAGGGGCGCUGAUUCGACUCUCAGCUGGGUCAGUUGGCAUUAAUGUGUGGAGUUUGCAUGUUCUCCCUGUGUUAGCGAGGGUUUCCUCUGAGUGCUCCGGUUUCCCCGACAGGCCAAAGACAUGCACUAUAGCUGAAUUGGGUAAGCUAAAAUUGUCCGUAGUGUAUGAGUGUGUAUAAGUGUUUCCCAGUGAUGGAUUGCAGCAAGGUAGGGCAUCCGCUGUGUGAAACAUAUUCUGCAUAAGUUGAUGAUUCAUUCUGCUGUGGUGACCCCUGUUUAAUAAAGUGACUAAGCU
rnacentral:lncRNA from 1 species